GUUGAGUCUGACGAGAAAGUUAGUUGAUCUAGACUUGAGUAAGAGUAAUGCUAGAGUGCUAAGAAAAGAUUCAAAUGUUUAUGUGAGCAUGUAUAAUAUACGAGUUAUACAAAAGUAAUGAAUAUUGUGCAUUCAAUACAACGGUCCUUUGAACCAGCGGAUACGAGUAAGAGGAUCUCAUGAGGAAAUUUCCAAGCAUAUCCAAACAACCAAACAUGUGUGUUUAAUUUCAGUGUAUUCGGAUAGAUUUUAUUAUGCGUGUUUAGAUUGAUCCACAUAUGCAUACACUUGAAAUAAUAAAUAAAAAAGAGUAAAAUGGCAGCAGGGACGUGGUCGUGCCACAGCUUUUUUGGAACUGAGGACAUGACGAACAGCCUGCCUUCUACAUUCUCUCAAGCUUCUUUAAGCGAAAGGAAAUAGCUUGUUGAGUUACAUUAAGUUUUUCAGCAAGUUCUUGCUAUGUUUGCGAAUGCAAAGCGUAAUAUGCUCCUUCUGAGAAGCCAAGGUCCAAACUAGUAUUUUUUGAAGUUAUGGAGCAAGCACAAUCAAGUUACGUGAUGCGUUUAGAAGAUUCAGGUCAACACUUUAAAACCUCAAAUCGGCGAGAAAAACUAUUAAUUUAAAACAAAAUUACA